GAUGUUGAUUUAUAGAAUUAUUGUGAUAUAAAUUAUUUGAUUUAAAGCUUGAUUGGUAAAGCUUAUUGUUGGGUUACAUAUAGGUUUUAUCUGUUCAGGUUCCUGUAAUGAUUGUACAAAGUGUUUUUAUUAAUGACUCAAAUUCUCAGAUUUAGGAUGUAGUUGAAUAUACAGAACGUUAUUGCGCUCAUUUUUCCUCCGAGCUAACUGUUUCGACAGAAUCUGUCAGUUUUGUCUGUAAAUGCAAAUGUAAGCGUUGAUGUUUGGUGUCGAUCAGAGCAGAU